rnacentral:rRNA from 1 species
GACAGAGGUCCCGAGCGUUGUUCGGAUUCAUUGGGCGUAAAGGGUGUGUAGGAGGUCGGGUAAGUCAGGUGUGAAAUCUCACAGCUUAACUGUGAAACUGCAUUGGAUACUAUCCGGCUAGAGGAAUGGAGGGGAGACUGGAAUACUUGGUGUAGCAGUGAAAUGCGUAGAUAUCAAGUGGAACACCAGUGGCGAAGGCGAGUCUCUGGACAUUUCCUGACGCUGAGGCACGAAAGCCAGGGGAGCAAACGGG